ensembl:misc_RNA Metazoa_SRP Metazoan signal recognition particle RNA
GCUGGGUGGGGUGGCUCACACCUGUAAUCCCAGCACUUUGGGAGGCCAAGGUGGGCGGAUCACCUGAGGUCAGGAGUUCGAGAUCAGCCUGACCAACAUGGUGAAACCCUGUCUCUACUUUAAAAAUACAAAAAUUAGGCCAGGAGCAGUGGCUCACACCUGUAAUCCCAGCACUUUGGGAGGCCAAGGCAGGUGGAUCACCUGAGAUCAGGAGUUCAAGACCAGCCUGACCAACAUGGAGAAACCCCAUCUCU